rnacentral:sRNA from 1 species
CCGUGCCAUGAUUUGCACCUGAUAUUCAGGGAUCACUCUCAAAAUAAAUUGCCCAGGUUAUUGCCUCAUACACCGCCACCGGCCCCGAGCAGCUCACUCUAGCCCCUGGUCAGCUGAUUUUGAUCCGAAAAAAGAACCCAGGUGGAUGGUGGGAAGGAGAGCUGCAAGCACGUGGGAAAAAGCGCCAGAUAGGCUGGUUCCCAGCUAAUUACGUAAAGCUUCUAAGCCCUGGGACGAGCAAAAUCACUCCAACAGAGCCACCUAAGUCAACAGCAUUAGCGGCAGUGUGCCAGGUGAUUGGGAUGUACGACUACACCGCGCAGAAUGACGAUGAGCUGGCCUUCAACAAGGGCCAGAUCAUCAACGUCCUCAACAAGGAGGACCCUGACUGGUGGAAAGGAGAAGUCAAUGGACAAGUGGGGCUCUUCCCAUCCAAUUAUGUGAAGCUGACCACAGACAUGGACCCAAGCCAGCAAUGGUGUUCAGACUUACAUCUCUUGGAUAUGUUGACCCCAACUGAAAGAAAGCGACAAGG